rfam:Myotis davidii contig35567, whole genome shotgun sequence.
GCAGCAGUCUGGUUGUGGCACAAAUCCCAUUGAUAGCCAGGGCUGAAUAGACCCAUCUGGCUGGCAAAAUGAGUGUCCCUAUCUAGUGUACACUAGUGUUUGCAAAAGCUGCUCCAUUGGCAAUGAGGUUGCCUUUCUUAAACACAGGAGGGUAAUACCAAAGUCAAGGAUUUAUAAGCAUCUGUGUUCAACAAUUAGAAUCUCUAGCCAAGCUUUCAACGUUAAUAUUUAGAGAACUGAACACCUACCAUGGGUUAGGCUGUGUAUAGAUAAUUGCUUUUUGGU